UUAAAUUUAGUUAAAUUUUUAUAAUAUUAAUAUGUCAUAUUAAAGUUAUUUAUUGAAUAAUUUAAA
rnacentral:tRNA from 1 species